rnacentral:rRNA from 1 species
CCUACGGGAGGCAGCAGUAGGGAAUCUUUCACAAUGGGCGAAAGCCUGAUGGAGCAACGCCGCGUGCAGGAUGAAGGCCUUCGGGUUGUAAACUGCUUUUAUAAGCGAGAAAUAUGAUGGUAACUUAUGAAUAAGGAUCGGCUAACUACGUGCCAGCAGCCGCGGUCAUACGUAGGAUCCGAGCAUUAUCCGGAGUGACUGGGUGUAAAGAGUUGCGUAGGUGGCAUAAUAAGUAGCUAGUGAAAUCUGGUGGCUCAACCAUUCAGACUAUUAGCUAAACUGUUAAGCUCGAGACCGUUAGGGGUAACUGGAAUUUCUAGUGUAGGAGUGAAAUCCGUAGAUAUUAGAAGGAACACCAAUAGCGUAGGCAGGUUGCUGGGACGGUUCUGACACUAAGGCACGAAAGCGUAGGGAGCAAACGGGGUUAGAUACCCGUGUAGUC